ensembl:processed_transcript 1500017E21Rik RIKEN cDNA 1500017E21 gene
AUGGCACAGGAGAGCUGGUGAGCUGACCCACUUAGCUUCCAUCCAGACCAACUGGAGUGUCUCCUUCCUGAGCAUUCAGCCUACAAUCCCAAGGGACUGAGUUGGCUCCAGUGCAGUAUACAUGGAAGUGGUACUUGCUCUUUGGGGCUUGGCCUCAGAACUAUCCUGGCUCAGGCAAUGUGGGCAGGAGAGAAAAGGCCAGAGGGAUGGUUCUCAGGAGAACACAGUAUGAAGUUGCUUACCUGCAGUCAACAAAAUGUCCUCAGACAUCCACUUCGGGGUGUAUUCCACUGCUACUGUGUAUGCAUUCAGCGAGGCAUCUUAUCUAUGUGACCAUUCAGAUACUAUACACAGGUUCAUACCAAGAAUAUGCUAAGGCAACUGACUAUAUAUACUGUGUCAACUACAUAGCUCUUGAAAGUGUAUGAUUUAGUAACUUCCUAAUCACGAUAUCUUAUAAAGAGCAGUGUGAUUUUAAAUUUACUGUUUUAAUUAAUUGUCCAGUGUUUAAAAAAAUGAACUGAAGCCUGACUGAUUGUAUAAUUUUAAUAUUUGAAAAUGUACACAAAUAAACUCAACACAAUACAGAUUUAUACAAAAGAAGGACUUCUAAAAACAUACAGAAAAAAUAAAUAAUAGGUUUUUAAAAAAAGGACAAGACAUUUUAUAAAUACUAAUAAAUACUGUGCAAUGCUUUAAUUUACUAUGGCAGAUAGAAAAACUCAAGAAAUCAUUAAUAGGUUGUAUAUUUAAAAAGCUACAAGAAUUUUCUAGCUGAUUAAAAUAAAAUGUAACAGUAGUAGUUUUUACUUUUAAAAUGAGGUAUUAUUACAUUGUAAACCAAAACAGAGCAUAAAUAUAUGGUUUAGCAAUUAAUGGUUAUCAACUUCAACUUAAUAAAAGACAACAAAAAUUCCCAUUAUUUAUGGACUUUUGUCACCUAAAAUUUGGCUUGCCUGUGUACUUGCAAAAGUGACAUAGCUACCAAUACACACACAUCGUUAGACAUGCAGACCAAACCAAUACUAUUUCCAUGAGUCAUCCCUAACAAAUAAAAACUUUGUUUACAUUUUACUGAAAACACUUAAAUCUGGUUUCCUAUACAUAAUUCUUUGUGCUUGUUAGUAGGAACCUACAUUAAACAUUUCUACGCAGUGCAAGAGAGAAGCAGUUUUAUUUGCAUAUGGAUUAAAGACAAUAUACACACCAAACCAACUGUACCUUUAGCUGUCUUAGGCUUCCCACGAUUUAAAGAACAACUACCCUUCUGGUAAACUCACAUGGGAAAGUAGUCAUUUGCAGUCUCAAGCGUUACAGGAAGGAAGCUGGGUUUUCUAACACGGGUGGGUGGGCUUCGGAACUAUAGGACGCUGAUGAGUUACUGCACCCUUGAAUUCUGCUGGUUGGGUGCAGAAAGCACAGCGACAAGGAAAUGCCUAGCUCAGGGGAGCCUCGGGCCAAGUAUGAUUUGCACAUGGGCCAUAUGCUGGUACUAAAUGCUGGUUUCAUUCUUAUUGCAAAUGUCACUUCAGAGUUUUCUGAAGAAAAACUAUCAAAGAAUAAUUCUUGAGAUGAAAAUAUUUGUGACAUGCUAAUAAAACUGCUUCACUAUAAAUUAAAACAAAACAAAACAAAACAAAACAAAAAUCCCUGGGGCUUAAAAAUACAGUUUUUACAUGCUAUUUUAUUAUAAAUAGAAAACAAGGGUACUUUUGGAUUUACUAUAUUUAGAAUCCAGUGAAAAACACACAUUUUAGCCAAAAUGUCAAACUUCUUUUUUAUAUCAAGCUACAUCAUUUUGACAUAAAUGUUUUUAAUUGUAUUUCACUUUUGUCAAAUAUCCUACAUUUUCCAAAAAUUAGUGUUUUCAUAUAACUGGUGAUCAAAAAUUGUAGAUAUAAGCAGUACAUCAAAAUAUAUAAAAUAGCAGGGCUUCUUUUGUGCUUGUAAUUAUUUUAAGUAAUCAAUGACUAGUUUGGUCUAGUUUGCUCUACUAUAUUGAUUUUUAAGAAGAAAUAACCAUUAUACAAACAUUACAGAAUACUCAAGUAACCAAUUUACUGUCAGUGGGCAUGCAGACUAACAAUACUUAAAAGAAUAUAACCUUGAAUCCAAUUGGUCUGAAAAUACUCUUGUACAAUCAUCUUUGUUGAUUUGUAAAAGCUGUACACACAUCUAAAACCCUAAAUUUACUUUGUAAAAAUAAAUCUUUAGCAAUAAAUGGC